rnacentral:lncRNA from 1 species
GCGAAGGUUUCGAGAAAGAAUGAGGAGGAGGUCAGAAAUUCAAGGUUACCUUCAGUUAUUUUUUGUGUUUUAUUUGUUUAUAGUGGUGUUGAUUUUUGUUAUUGGCCAUUGUUUUGUUGUUGUGAAGGAAAUAGGAAGAACCACAAAAAUAAUUAGAAUCCAUCUAACAAGAGAACAAGAGAAACACUGAAUCUAAAAGAGUAGCAAAAUUAAAUUGGAUUUUUGCUAGU